GCCUCUGCCUUAAAACCUGACGUCAUCCGCCGCCAUCUUGCUGCUCCCUGCUCUCACGGAGUCAUAAACAUGCCGACGUGUGUAGCAUUUGGCUGCAACAACAAGCAGUUUUCCGGCUGUGGGAGGACGUUUCACAGAUUUCCACACGGUAAUGCUGAACGGAUGAAGCAGUGGGUGCUGAAUGUGAGAAGGAAAAAGUGGCAGCCAUCCAAGACGUCGGUGCUUUGCUCGGAGCAUUUUGAGGAGCAAUGCUUUGACCGUACUGGCCAGACGGUCCGACUCAGGGAAGGUGCACUCCCAACCUUAUUCAACUUCCCCAAGCGUAUUCAGAAGACUCCAAAAUCUCCCGGGAAAGAUCUGGCGCACGGACUGGUAAAACAAGAACCAACACCGGGUCCGCAUAUUGACCAAGAGCAAGGAAGUUCCUCGUGCGCAACAGGGGAUGCAGUAGUGAAGAGAGAACAUGUGUAUGCCAUCAGUGAUAGUCCCAAAAUGUUAAAAAGGAAGUUAGACGUGGCUUUGGAUGCCCUAGCAUCAACCAAGAAAAAACUUAAGUGCAUGCAACAGAAAUCAAGGCGGCCGAAGAAGAUGUGUAUAUAUAAUUAUGUAAUACCGAAUACUGAUUUUAUUAUAUGGGAGUAUAAUGAAGAACAGUAAACAUGAUACAUUAAAAAAAUGAUUUUGUGGUGAUUACA